GAAUACCUGCCAAACGCACACAGAGACAGAGGAAGAAUUAGACCAGUAGUCGUGGUGUUCGUGCGAGGACUAACCUUUAUUCUUUGUAGUCUGUUAAUUUCCCCUGAAAACAGCAGCAGGUAGAGGAUGUCCGGGAAGUUUUUGGAUAUUCCUAAUAUUGUUUGAGACAAAGACAAUCACAACAUUUAGCCACUGCAACCGUCUCCCUUUAGAAUCGCAGUGUCUUAAUAUUUUUCCAUUAAAAAAAGACACUGAAUGUUUACUUGCGUAAACAACUUUUCAUCAUUUUCACCUGCAUAAAAAUGGUUAAAAACGACAAGAAAUGAAUCCGAUACCAGAUGUUUUGUACACAAAUUACAGAUUGAGCAGCAUCUAUCAAAAACUGGUGUGGAUACGAGUGCAAAAAUCACCUUAGGACAAGUUCAAUGUAUAUACACUUUACAAUCCCAGCAUUAAAAAAAACAUACAUGGCAGGAAGCAACAACCUGUUAUUUAUCACGCGUCAUCCCUUCAUUCCCAGCCUUUUCUGCACAGUGAGUUUUUGAUAUUGAUAAACAGAUGAUUUGAUGUUGAUAUGCU